rnacentral:rRNA from 1 species
CGUCCUACGGGGGGCAGCAGUGGGGAAUAUUGCACAAUGGGGGAAACCCUGAUGCAGCAACUCCGCGUGAGUGAAGAAGUAUUUCGAUAUGUAAAGCUCUAUCAGUAGGGAAGAAGAAAGACGGUACCUGACUAAGAAGCCCCGGCUAACUACGUGCCAGCAGCCGCGGUAAUACGUAGGGGGCAAGCGUUAUCCGGAUUUACUGGGUGUAAAGGGAGCGUAGACGGCAUAGCAAGUCUGAAGUGAAAGCCCGUGGCUCAACCGCGGAACUGCUUGUGAA